ensembl:snoRNA
GCUGCCCCCAGAGGCCUUGCAGGUGUGGCUGCCGUGUCAUAUUUGUGUCAUUAGAGGGCAGAGAGAGGAGAGGCUAUGUCUACUUUCAGUGUUCUGACCCAUGAACCUUUGAAUGAUUAAUAGUCUGACACU